CGCAGAGUUUGAUCGUGGCUCAGGACGAACGCUGGCGGCGUGCUUAACACAUGCAAGUCGAGCGGUAAGGCCCUUUCGGGGGUACACGAGCGGCGAACGGGUGAGUAACACGUGGGUGACCUGCCCUCAGCUCUGGGAUAAGCCUGGGAAACCGGGUCUAAUACCGGAUAUGACUCCAUGACGCAUGUUGUGGGGUGGAAAGCCUUGUGCGGCUGAGGAUGGGCCCGCGGCCUAUCAGCUUGUUGGUGGGGUGAUGGCCUACCAAGGCGACGACGGGUAGCCGGCCUGAGAGGGCGACCGGCCACACUGGGACUGAGACACGGCCCAGACUCCUACGGGAGGCAGCAGUGGGAAUCUUGCGCAAUGGGCGAAAGCCUGACGCAGCGACGCCGCGUGA
rnacentral:rRNA from 1 species